rnacentral:rRNA from 1 species
AGAGCGAACGCUGGCGGCAGGCCUAACACAUGCAAGUCGAGCGCCCGUAGCAAUACGGGAGCGGCAGACGGGAUAGUAACACGUGGGAACGCGCCCUUCGGUUCGGAAUAACUCAGGGAAACUUGAGCUAAUACCGAAUACGCCCUUACGGGGAAAGAUUUAUUGCCGAAGGAACGGCCCGCGUCCGAUUAGCUAGUUGGUGAGGUAAUGGCUCACCAAGGCUACGAUCGGUAGCUGGUCUGAGAGGAUGACCAGCAUCACUGGGACUGAGACACGGCCCAGACUCCUACGGGAGGCAGCAGUGGGGAAUAUGGACAAUGGCGCAAGCCUGAUCCAGCAAUGCCGCGUGUGUGAAGAGGUUUUCGGAUUGUAAAGCACUUUCGACGGGGACGAUGAUGACGGUACCGUAGAAGAAGCCCCGGCUAACUUCGUGCCAGCAGCCGC